CAAUAGCGUAUAUUAAAGUUGUUGCGGUUAAAAAGCUCGUAGUUGGAUUUCUGCUGAGGACGAUCGGUCCGCCCUCUGGGUGAGCAUUGACUCGGCCUUGGCAUCUUCUUGGAGAACGCUACUGCACUUGACUGUGUGGUGCGGUAUCCAGGACUUUUACUUUGAGGAAAUUAGAGUGUUCACUGCAGGCAUACGCCUUGAAUACGUUAGCAUGGAAUAAUAAGAUAGGACCUCGGUUCUAUUUUUUCGGUUUCUAGAGCUGAGGUAAUGAUUAACAGGGAUAGUUGGGGGCGAUUCGUAUUUAACUGUCAGAGGUGAAAUUCUUGGAUUUGUUAAAGACGAACUACUGCGAAAGCAUUUGCCAAGGAUGUUUUCAUUGAUCAAGAACGAAAGUUAGGGGAUCGAAGACGAUUAGAUACCGU
rnacentral:rRNA from 1 species